UACGAGAGGCCCAAACGUUAUUCGGAAUUACUGGGCUUAAAGAGUUCGUAGGCGGCGCAGCAAGUAGGGUGUGAAAUCCCUCGGCUCAACCGAGGAAUUGCGCUCUAAACUUCUGUGCUCGAGGAAGCUAGAGGUGAGCAGAACAGAUGGUGGAGCGGUGAAAUGCGUUGAUAUCAUCUGGAAUACCGGAGGCGAAGGCGGCUCACUGGGGCUUUUCUGACGCUGAGGAACGAAAGCCAGGGUAGCGAACGGG
rnacentral:rRNA from 1 species